GGGCUGUAUUUUCAACCCAUUUUUUACUUCCUUGAGUGGGCAAUGCCAGGAGCCGCCCACUAGGGAUCAGAAUCUGGAGCAGCUUGAUUUGCAGCUGUUCCAGCCAGAAAAUUACAGGCAUGUGGAAGAGGGGCUGGAGAAAGCUCUUUGCUUGAGAGAGUUUUCUGGCUGAUGGUUCUUCAAAGUCUGCUGUUUUCUCUUUUAUUACAUGCAUCAAAUGCACCCCAACUUCUAUUCUUACCUUGGUAUAUUUUUCAAAGUUCCCAAUCUGUUGCCCCAGAACGGACCCAUCUUCCAAGCCUUCUCGGAGUCUCUGUUCAAACCGCAUCUGGACCAAAUCUCGAGCAUCCUUAUCACCUCCAUCUAGAAUGAAUGGAAAUCUGAUAAAUUUUACUGCCCCAAGAAAUAAAAGCAGAACGCAGGAA